rnacentral:lncRNA from 1 species
ACUGUUUUUCACUGCUGUAUCCUCAGUACACAGAAUGGUUUGUAACACGAGACAGACACCUCAGUAAAAGCCAGAUGAGGGCUAGUAUUAGUAAAACCUGUCAGACUGUUGCAUUUGAAAAACGAAACAAAAACGUUGGUUCCAGGGCACUAACCACCAUGAAAUACAGUAAGUGUACAUCUCGGUUAUAGUUUACUCCCUACCCACAGCCUUCCUCUCCCACAGCGGAGAAACAAUAGUGAAUUAGUUUCUUUCUCAGAGAGACUUGAGGUAUGUGAUGAAAGACAAGUCCAAGAAACAGUGAAGCCAGCUUUGCAGACAUCAGCCCUAGAACCAAUGGUAUUAUUUCCCAGUGCAAAUGAUAAUUACUCCGACCUACUCAUCAAGACAAGAAAAAGCAUCUCUGAUCAAUUUUCAAAAGAGGCUGGGUUGGUGUAAUUAUAGUUAAUAAUACCCAUCUACGGAGCUGUUGCCCCUGACACACACACCCUUGAGUUGUCAGCCUCAGACUUCCAUUUCUAGCACCUGUAAGCUGGUCAAGUUGUGUGCACUGUAAUGUGUCACCAUGAAACGAAAGAGAAGUACCAGAUUUCUCUCUUCUCUCAACAUGGCAUCAGUUUUUUCAAUAUAUUGGCAAAGUGGAUCCAUCCACGGUUCUGGGUCCUGGCUGUGCGUCCGAUCGCCUUUGUCAGCUGGGGGAAGACUCAGGGUGACUUGAGCCAGGAGGACCGCGGAGUGGACAGCCGGUACCGCGCGCUCCCCUUUCCCUUGUUCUAAACUGGGCUGGAGAAGUUCAUAGGAUUUGCUCCGUCUGUACCGCGUGCGCUGUGAGCGUUUUCAUCAGGGCAGCAGCAGACGCGAAGGAGCGCGCUGGCGCCCUCUGGCGGCGAUCCUAGGGUGCGUCCGCGCCGUGCCUACCCCCCGGCCUCCGGGAGCCUCGAGCCCCAGCGCGACUGUGAUUCUGCCAAUUACAGCGAUCAUCAUAGCGAAAUGAAAAUGCUCCGAUUAUUUGUUUAUAAAUAAAACCGUUCCUCCUGGAAAAUGUGCCAGGAUGACAUUUUGUGAAGUCCUGUUUCCAGUCUUCGUGAAUUAAAAUUCUAGAUGGGAAACUACCAGACAGGAGAAGAUAAUUGAAAAGGAUAGUUGAAAGGACUUCUGACUUGUCCAAGAAGAGACGCAAUUCCAGGUUAAUCUUCAGAGUGAGUCAAAGCAACACCCCUCAUGGAGCCCAAGAGCAUCCAAAAGAGGAUCAAAAACUUCAUCUGGCACCAGUUAGACCAGUUCCUGGUCCACUACAUCAAGAAACUGGAAGUGCUGCUGAUGGGCAGUGAAUCUGACUGUGCAGGGACCGCUCGCCGUGCCUCCUCCAAGAACCAAGAACCGCAACGCUGUUUCGGGAAGAGCAGCCCAGCUGCCGUCAGAGUCAGCAAUCCCAAUGCUGGGCUGCCCCGCCAAGAAAAUGAAUGGGCAGCCAUGUGUACAUAUUAUUUGUGUUUAAAUAAAGCCAUAAAAUCUGAAAGAAAAAAAACAAACCAGGCGCGGUGGCUCAUGCCUGUACUGUAAUCCCAGCACUUCGAGAGGCUGAGGCGGGUGGAUCACCUGAAGUCAGGAGUUCGAGACCAGCCUGGCCAACAUGGUGAAACCCCCAUCUCUACUAAAAAUACAUAAAUUAGCUGGGCAUGGUGGCGGGCGCCUGUAGUCCCAGCUGCUCAAGAGGCUGAGGCAGGAGAAUAGCUUGAACUUGGGAAGUGGAGGUUGCAGUGAGCCCAGAUCGCAUCACUGCACUCCAGCCUGGGUGUCAAGAGCGAGACUGUGUCUCAAACAAAAACGAAAACAAAAACAAACAAAAAGAGUGAAGAGUAUGCUCGGGCUGUCUAGCAUUGUAGAAGGGCACCUCCACUUUGGAGAACUUUCUUUCGGCUGCCUUGUCUCUCUCUUCUCUCCUAAGUGGACCAAGGGACAGGCUUCCAUGGCUUUCUUCCAAGCUAGAAACACCAGCAGGUCACUACUCAUGUUGUGUAUUUAGAAACCUUAUUUAAAAAACUGGAUUGCAAAGUAGAGAGUAGCUCAAAGGAUGAAGCAGUUUUUUCCCCAAUGGUUUUUGUGAGUCUAUUACCAAUGGCCUAAUUUUGCUUUAAUCAAAGGUUUUUAUGAUGCUAACUGAUGAUGUCUAAACACAAAUAAAGGUUUUGUUUUGUUUCUGAGAAUAGUGGCUUAAAAAAUACUAACAUGGAAAAAUAAUGGAUGAUUUUGCUGAUAGUAGUACUGUUUGCAGAUUUGUUUGCAGUACUGUUUGCAGAUUUGUUUGCAGUACUGUUUGCAGUUUUAUGGUGAAAGAAAAUAAUUUAGCAGCUAAGGCGAGUUUGUGCCUUGCCUUAGCACAUGGUCACUUACGAACUGUGCGGUGUGGGUCUACACCUAGAACUUUCCCUCAGAACAGAGAUUUAACAAUUAGAUGACACUCAGGAAGCUUCCUUUAAACAAGCAAAUAUUUCCAGUUGACAACAGGAAUGUAAACACGACUCCAAUCAGUGAAUAUGCUGAAAGCUCUUUCCUAUCUGCGGUAUUAGCUGUGCUCAGUGGAGAGGGUAACGUUUCUUC